CUCGUCUGAAACAUUAGCAUCGUUUUUGCUUAACCAAACAACGCAAUGUUAUUACUACCAAUAAUAAAUGUAUUUAUAUGCAUCAGUUUGUACGACCAGGGUUGUAAAGCUGAAGUCAUUUGCAUAGCACAUAAAAUUUUAUAUCAUAGCCUGAAACAUAAUACCUAAUAAGCCUCCUAAGGACUUUAUUAAAUAAUUUCGAAAAGAGCAAUUGACACCAGUCAACAUUAUUGAUAUAUAUGAAUAAAAAGAAUUCUACUAAACUUUUCCUGUGUUAAAUACGAGAGCGUACCUAUAGACGAGACGUUUCAGAGAAAAAAUUGUGGUAUAGAAGGACGUGGGAAUCAUACAGAAAAGCAGUAAAAAUAUGUUCUUAGUCACACAGCGCGCGAUGGAGUGAACUAUGCUCGAAGUUUAACUACAUGAUUGAAUCAAAAAUGAGGAAAUCCACAGAAGAACCAAAGUUACCGACAUACUCGUAGCUCAACGAGUCGAAAAUCUGAAGUGACAUUGGCGGGGAAUAUAGUUCGAAAAGCUGAUGGACAUUUUGAGCCCCAAG
rnacentral:lncRNA from 1 species